GAAUUUUGGAGUGAUUUGAAGUUUUAUUUUAUUUUAUUUUUUUAAUAGAGACAGGGUUUCACCAUGUUGCCCAAGCUGGUCUUGAACUCCUGGAUUCAAGUGAUCUACCUACCUUGGCCUCCCAAAGUGCUGGGAUUACAGACAUAAGCCACCACACCCAGCCAGUGGUUUGAGGUUUGAAUCACAACUCUGUCACAUAUUGUAAUGGACAUCUGGUGUUUUUCCCAGUCCCAGCACCCACUCUUUUCUGGAAGCAGCACCUUUCUUUUUCCUUGGGGAAUUACCCCUUUCCUAGUUUGUGCCAAUAAUCAAGAUUCGUGUCCUCCCCUGAAAAACAGUGUCAUGUGGCCCAAGUGAGGCCAAUCAGAUUCAACCUCACAAAUUCCAGUUGCGAGCCAGGCGAUCAGGAAGAGAUUGGAGCUGAUCAUCCCUCUGGCAUGUUCCUGAAGAAAUGGGCCCACUCAUGCCUGCCAUCUGGAUGCUGGAAAUUACUCUAUUUCUUAUUCUUCCCAUGAUCCAGUUGUUCACCUUUGAUUCUGUAAGCUACUCCCUUCCAAUAUGUUUCAGUUUACUUAUGUUAUCUCGAAUCUGUUUCUCUUGUUUGUAAUCAAAGAACUUUAAUAGUCUAAACAAACUAAAUAAAUUAUAACUGUAAUCUCC
rnacentral:lncRNA from 1 species